rnacentral:lncRNA from 1 species
CAUUUAAUAAAUGAUGCUUGUAAAGACAGAUUUUCAGCAUGUCAUCAACAAGUAUAGUCAACAAGAAAUCUCACAUAUUGAUUCUUGCAAUUAAAGCAUAUCAACAUUUUUCAAAUGUGAGAACAACUUUUAUGUUAAUAACAACAGUUGCCACAUAUCAACAAUAACAACAAAUCUGUUAACAACAAUCAUUUGCACAGUUCGGUUCUAUUAAAAUGACUAGCUAACCGAAAUUCCCUUUGAUGCCUUUAGGUGUCGUGCUUGGUGCAUCUACUACAAUUUU